rnacentral:rRNA from 1 species
GGACCCGCACAAGUAGUGGAGCAUGUGGUUUAAUUCGAAGAUACGCGCAGAACCUUACCAACACUUGACAUGUUCGUCGCGACUUUAAGAGAUUAGAGUUUUCGGUUCGGCCGGACGAAACACAGGUGCUGCAUGGCUGUCGUCAGCUCGUGUCGUGAGAUGUUGGGUUAAGUCCCGCAACGAGCGCAACCCUCACUUUUAGUUGCCAUCAUUAAGUUGGGCACUCUGAAAGAACUGCCAGUGAUAAGCUGGAGGAAGGUGGGGAUGACGUCAAGUCCUCAUGGCCCUUACGUGUUGGGCUACACACGUGCUACAAUGGUAUCUACAACAGGAAGCAAGACUGCGAAGUUAAGCAAAUCCCUAAAAGAUACCUCAGUUCGGAUUGCACUCUGCAACUCGACUCCGUGAAGCUGGAAUC